rnacentral:rRNA from 1 species
GUGAAUGGCGUGCGAGAGGGAGCGGUAAGAUGUGUGUAGAAAGCUGGUUUCGUAAGUAUUGGGCGUAAAGCGUGCGUGGGCGGGUGUUUAAGGCUGAUGUGAAAGCCCACGGCGCAACCGUGGAGGGUCAUUGGAAACUGGAAAACUUGAGUGCAGAAGAGGAAAGUGGAAUGCCAUGUGUAGCGGUGAAAUGCGCAGAGAUAUGGAGGAACACCAGUGGCGAAGGCGACUUUCUGGUCUGUAACUGACGCUGAUGUGCGAAAGCGUGGGGAUCAAACAGGAUUAGAUACCCUUGUAGUC